rnacentral:lncRNA from 1 species
GCGUUCAUUGUUUUGAUUUUGACCGCCUGACAACUUUACGGAAAUAUCAGAGUGAUUAUAAACUAGGACUCUGUGACGGGCAACUUAUAAUAUCCGUGUUUUAAAGAUUUUAAUGAUAUCAAGCCAGUCCAGUUCAAACUAUUAUCACGUGGUACAAUUCUCAUUUACAUAUUAUGAAUAUUAAUUAGCAAAAGUACUACUAAUUUCUGGCUAUGUAGUGA